rnacentral:lncRNA from 1 species
UCUACGAGAACCGCCUCGAGCACAACAGACCGUUGAUUACCUGGCCCUGCAACGAUUGCAUGCAUGACUGGGUCUCGGUUGGUUACUUCGACAAGGGGGCCAAGUUCGUGCCCUGGGUGCGCCCGACCGCGUGCACCCCCUUCCACACCUGCUGCGUGGUCGAGUUGCACGGUGAGGUUGCCGCGACUGCCAGGAAGGGCUGGCAGAACAACUGCUUGUUCCCGUGCUAUCGCACCUUCGUGCCCGGUCUCAAGGAUGCCCAGGCAUUCUGCGACGCGGCGAACGCGGCCCAAGCCACCGCUCUCGCCGCCGUCUACAACCCCGCCGUCCAGAAGAUGGGUUAAGGGUCCGCGCGCGCGGAUUGUCGAAUUCUCGAUCGGGACC